AACAUUUUUAGAUUUUAAUAUGUUCUGUAUUAAGAUAUUUAUGAAAAUAAACAUAUAUAUAUAUAUAUAUAUAUCUUUUUUAACUAAGUUUAUUACAAAAAAAGAAGUCUAAGUUCUUGAAGUUGGUAUCUUUGGAAUUGGAUAUCUAAUACAUUUUAAGAGCAUCUCCAUCAGUAGUCUCUUACAUAGUUUCUCAUUAACUAAAAAGUAUAAAAUAAUAAUAAAAAUAGAAGAGAGAUAUGAGAGAGAUUGAGAAUAGUUUCUCUGCAAAGAAAGUAAUAAUCGAGAAACUAUCUGUAUAUGUGUGUGUUUAUAAUUGAACAGAAACUACAUUAACUUUUAAAGUAUCUUACCAAUGAAGAUGGCCUAAAGCAGUAUCUAAUGGUUUGUAAUUAAUUACUAGCCUUGGAGUGCCUCUUUCAAUUUCAGAGUUUUU
rnacentral:sRNA from 1 species